AAAGUAUUACUACAUACACAAUAUGGGUAGAGCAGAACCAAUUAAGGAUGUGAAUGACUCAGAAGUGAAAUUUGCUGCAGGGCAAGCAGUUAAAAUCCAUAACGAUCAAAAACACGAUACAUUGGUUUUCAUUCGUGUAGUGAAUGGUCUGAAGCAGGAAGUUGAUACUGCCAAGCUGUAUUCUCUUCUGAUAGAAGCUACAAAUGGUGAUGGAACUCAUUGGGGAUAUAUCGCUAAGAUUAAGUUGUGGCCUAAGGCCCCAAGUCAUUAUGAUCCAUAUUCCCAUACCUUUGAGCUCAUAUCUUGGGAAGAUCCCCUCAAAUUCUGGAACUAAGUAUUCCAAUGUUAUCUUUUUACAUCUUUACAUCUUUACAUCUUUACAUCAUAAUAAUAUGUCCUUCUCUAUAUAUAGAGAGAGGGCAUUAUUGUCUUCCAACUACUAUAUGAAAAUGGUAUAGCCUUGAUUAAAUAGUGAUACACAUAAUCUAUUUCUAUAUAGUAUAUGUGUGUCCAUAUAUAUAUGUUUAACUUUUUCUCUUCUCUCUCCCAUCUAUGUUCUAUGUAUGUAAAGAGUUUAAAUAAGACUAAAUCAUUAAAUAGUCAAUUUUACUUUAUAAUUUGUCGUUUACUGUUUUAAACUGAUUAUUUCGUUUUAUUUAUGACAUGGGUAACUUAAGGUGUGUUUGGAUUAUCUUUUAAAGUGUUUAAAUUUGAAAAAAAAAAUUAAAAAUUUGAGGUGUUUGGUAACUUUUCAAAAUGUAUUUUUAAAAAAUGAGAUUGAAAAAUAAUUCAUUUUAAAGAAAAUGCUCAAAACCAAAUUUUGAGAAAACUAUGUAUAUAAACUCUUAUAAAAGGAUAGAACCAAACAUGUAAAUAUUUAAAUUUUAAACUCAUUUUAAGGAAAGUGUUUAAAAAUAAUGUAUUCUUGAAAAAUAUUUUUUUUCCAUAGGUAAACCAAACGCACUCUUAAUCUUAAUUUUAACUUAAUGAAUAAGAUGUAAUUUCGAGGGUAAAACGAUAACCUUGACUUAGCCGAUAUUUCGAAUAACCUGUAAAAGAUUAACUUACUAAUCAUAGUUAUUUCAAAUGGACACAAAUAUAUCUAUAGUAAAGGAACUGAAACUAAGAAAUUUUAAUGGAAUGAUCUAGUUAGUUAACGAAUGUUAAUUAGCUUAUUCUAAAAGAAUUUAGCUAGUUAAUCUCGAAUCGAUGAAGCUCGUGAUCUAUAGGUUUAAUAGGUUCCCUAAUAGCUCAUAUGGAAUAAACUUAGAACAAUAUGAUUGAAUAAUUUGAAUUGUUCAAAUUGGAAAAUGAGAGAAAAAUUGACAAGUAUAUGUGAUAUAGCAAUCAGUCACUACUAGAAAACUGAGAUUUAACAACACAAAAUAUGUGUCAUAAACGGUUUUCAUGUCACAUAUUUUGCAUCUUUGAAGUGCUUGUAAAGAUAGGACAUUUACUGACGCAUCCUAAAAAGUGUCAUUAAUAUUGCUUAAAACGAUAUUGAUUUAACGCCAAUAAUCAAUUUCUCUUGACAUUUACCACCUAUGACUAUUAAUUGGAUUAUGAAACAAUGAAAUUGUCAUUGUUAGUCUCAAAUGAUCAAAUAUUGCGUCUAUUUUCUAUAUUAGGGCUACAGGUUUAAUUUGAGAGAGAGAGGGAAGGUUGAGUUUGAGUUGAGAGAAGAGAGAAAUGUCAUUCACUGGAGAAUUCUGGGCAAGAUGCAUUCAUAGAGGGCUAUAGAACUCGUUUCUUGGAUUUUUUUUUUUAAAAAAAUUGAGGUAUGAAAGUUAAGACAUUUUCCAGCAACUUUGUACAAGAAAGUAUUUUCAUUUGAGUUUUUCAUUUUAAGAUAUUGGCUUAUAAAUUAUAGUUAAGGUUUUAGCCAAAAAUGAGUUUUUGGACAGUAGAGGUUGUUAGUCGAAUGUCAGAGGUUGUUAGACAAGAUGGACAUGUGUUUUGGGUUAAAAGAGGUUAGCGUUGCGUUUAGGCUGGUGUUUGGCACACAGUCUGUGUACAACGGGCGUGCAGCUAAGGAAGCACACAAGGAAGGCUAUGUGAGACGCUGACACACGACCAGGUGAGGUACCCACGUGUUUAUGGGUGAGGUUAACACGCGGGCAUGCCUAGCGCGAACGAAUCGAAACUCCAGUUUCUAUAGUUUUAAAUCAAGAUCCACGAUCUACUUAAAAAAUUUGGCCAAAGUUAUAGGAAGCCUUAGAAACCAAAAUAAUUUUAGCACCACAUUUCAUCCAUAGACAGUGGCCAAUCUAAAAGAACUAUUCAGGCAUUAGAGGACAUGUUAAGACCUUGUGUUCUAUAGUUCAAAGGGAGCUAGGAUGAUUGAUUGUCCUUGAUUGAGUUUGUCUAUAACAACAACCCCUUUUAAGGCGUUGUAUGGGAGGCGUUGUAGAACUUCAAUACGCUAGAAAGAAGUGGGCGAGAGGAAGCUCUACAGUCUAGAGUUAGUCUAGGCCAUAACGAAAAACAUCAAAUUAAUUAGAUAAAAUUUAAAAAAUUUCCGCGAUAAGUAGAAGUGCUAUGUGGAUAAUUGUCGUAAAGCAUUGGAAUUCAAGGUUGGGGAUAAAGUUUUUCUAAAAUUAUCACCUUGGAAGGAUGUGAUCAGGUUAUAUUAGUCCACGUUAUAUUAGUCCUUAUGAGAUUCUAGCAAGCGUAGGACCAAUGACUUAUAAGCUAAGAUUGCCUGCAAAACUAUCUAGGAUUCAUAAUUUCUUUCACAUCUCCAUGUUGAGGAAGUAUGUAUCAAACUACUCGCACAUACUCUAAACUUUUGAAGUAAAAUAAAACUUGAACUACGAAGAAAGGCCUUUGUGUAUAAUGGACAAAAAGGAACAAGUCUUGAGAACAAAGGUGAUCCCCAUGGUCAAAAUUUUGCGAGACAACCAUGGCGUUGAAGAAUCUACUUGAGAAAGUGGGGAGCUAAUAAAAACCAAGUACCCACAACUUUUCGUACAAACUCACUGAAUUUCAAAGACGAAAUUUCAAUAAGGAGGUAGUACUUGUGAGACCAUAAACGUGUUUAGAUCUAUAUGAUGAGAUUAAAGCGAAAGAAACAAGUAAUGCAAUGAGAUGGGUACUAAUAAAGAACUCACGUGUUAUGAUGAGGUACGCGAUGAAAAAACGAUAUUGGGAUCUCCAAAACCUUUUAUAAAGACCUUGCUUGUUUAUUCUUUCCUCGCAUUGUGAUCUCCAAAACGUCAAGUAUCAAAACGCUCUCUUUUAUAAAAACUUCUUUUUUCAAAAUCCUUCACUUAGAUUUUUCUUUCUCAAAAUGACCCUUCUACUCAGGCACAAGUCUCACAUUCUAGGUUCUUUAGUUUUUUAAAAUAGGUUUGAGAGGUCCUUUAAUUAAUUUUUAUUUUAUUUUUAGUACUAGAAAGGCACCCAAGUUUUAGAAGGGUGUGGGAUAAACAAAUCUGGAUUUGUUGGUGUUUCUACGUCACUCGGCUUGGCAAGGAAUGGAGAGGAAUAAAAUAGUAAUAUACUUUUAUUAAAUAU
rnacentral:lncRNA from 1 species